rnacentral:rRNA from 1 species
GACGAACGCUGGCGGCGUGCUUAACACAUGCAAGUCGAACGGAAAGGCCCUGCUUUUGUGGGGUGCUCGAGUGGCGAACGGGUGAGUAACACGUGAGUAACCUGCCCUUGACUUUGGGAUAACUUCAGGAAACCGGGGCUAAUACCGGAUAGGAGCUCCUGCUGCAUGGUGGGGGUUGGAAAGUUUCGGCGGUUGGGGAUGGACUCGCGGCUUAUCAGCUUGUUGGUGGGGUAGUGGCUUACCAAGGCUUUGACGGGUAGCCGGCCUGAGAGGGUGACCGGCCACCAUGCGACUGAGGGACGGCCCAGACGCCUACGGGAGGCAGCAGUGGGGAAUAUUGCACAAUGGGCGGACGCCUGAUGCAGCAACGCCGCGUGCGGGAUGACGGCCUUCGGGUUGUAAACCGCUUUCGCCUGUGACGAAGCGGGAGUGACGGUAAUGGGUAAAGAAGCACCGGCUAACUACGUG